UGAAAAAGUGGUAGGAAUGACAGCGGUGUGUGGUAUUCCCACUUUCUGGUGGCAUAUAUAAAACUCGAAGCAUAGGCAAUUGCAUUAGAGUCUGGCGUAAGCAUAUCCUUUCUUAAUGUUGGUUGUUGUGUUCUCUAGGUUUUUGUUGAUGGUGGAAUCCGAAAAUUCAUAUAUAUUGGUUGGGAAUUCUACUUGAUGCAAGGCAAGAUAAGCAUGGAUACUGGAUUUAGCGUGGAGUACAUAAAUGAUUCAGGGGAAAAGGCUCUGAUAUUACCUUGCCAUCGGUAGCUGAUCAAGUGAGGGCAAUGUGGAAGGAAGCUUAUGAGAAUUUUUAGUUUUGUUGUUAAUUUCAUAGUUUUAUAUGGGUAUGGUUAUAAGUUUUCUUUUAGCUAUGUUGUUUAAUCUCAUAAUUAUUUUAAAUGAUGGACCUAA